rnacentral:rRNA from 1 species
UACAGAGGGGGCCAGCGUUGUUCGGAAUUACUGGGCGUAAAGGGCGCGUAGGCGGCCCGCUAAGUCGCACGUGAAAUCCCUGGGCUCAACCCAGGAACUGCGUCCGAUACUGGCAGGCUUGAAUCCGGGAGAGGGAUGCGGAAUUCCAGGUGUAGCGGUGAAAUGCGUAGAUAUCUGGAGGAACACCGGUGGCGAAGGCGGCAUCCUGGACCGGUAUUGACGCUGAGGCGCGAAAGCCAGGGGAGCAAACGGG